rnacentral:rRNA from 1 species
CAAUAGCGUAUAUUAAAGUUGUUGCGGUAAAAAAGCUCGUAGUUGGAUUUCUACCGAAGAUAGCCGGUCGGGUCUUCGACCUUGUAUCUGGUUUUGUCUUUGGUAUCCUCAUAGGGAACGUUUCUGCGCUUUGUUGCGUGGUGCGGUAUCUAUGACUUUUACUUUGAGGAAAUUAGAGUGUUCACGGCAGGCAAACGCCUUGAAUAUAUUAGCAUGGAAUAAUAACAUAGGAUCUUCGUCCUAUUUUGUUGGUUUCUAGGGCUAAGAUAAUGAUUAAUAGGGAUAAUUGGGGGCAUCUGUAUCAACGCGUCAGAGGUGGAAUUCUUGGAUUGCGUUGCGACAAACUACUGCGAAAGCAUUUGCCAAGGAUGUUUUCAUUGA